UGGUGACCAGCGGAGGGAUCAUUAAAGAGUUCUAUAACUCCCAAACCCAUGUGAACAUACCUAACGUUGCCUCGGCAGGUCGCACCUACCUUGUAGCACCCUACCCUGUAGGGCCUACCCGGGAGGUGCGGGUAAGCCUGCCGGCGGCCCACCAAACUCUGUUUGAUAUUGAAUUCUGAACCUAUAACUAAAUAAGUUAAAACUUUCAACAACGGAUCUCUUGGUUCUGGCAUCGAUGAAGAACGCAGCGAAAUGCGAUAAGUAAUGUGAAUUGCAGAAUUCAGUGAAUCAUCGAAUCUUUGAACGCAUAUUGCGCCCAUUAGUAUUCUAGUGGGCAGGACCGUUCGAGCGUCAUUUCAACCCUUAAGCCUUCGUUGCUUAGUGUUGGGAGCCUACGGCAACGUAGCUCCUCAAAGUUAGUGGCGGAGUUGGUUCACACUCUAGACGUAGUAAUUUUUUAUCUCGCCUAUUAGUUGGACUAAUCCCCUGCCGUAAAACCCCUAAUUUAUCAAGGUUGACCUCGAAUCGGUUCAGACAAACUCGCUAAAUUGAAGCAUCUUAGUCAGCGAAGGAAAAGAAACCAACAGGGAUUGCCCUAGUAACGGCGAGUGAAGCGGCAACAGCUCAAAUUUGAAAUCUGGCCCUCGGGUCCGAGUUGUAAUUUGUAGAGGAUGCUUUUGGCGCGGUGCC
rnacentral:rRNA from 1 species